CCUACGGGUGGCAGCAGUGAGGAAUAUUGGUCAAUGGGCGCGAGCCUGAACCAGCCAAGUAGCGUGAAUGAUGACUGCCCUACGGGUUGUAAACUUCUUUUAUAAAGGAAUAAAGUGAGGCACGUGUGCCUUUUUGUAUGUACUUUAUGAAUAAGGAUCGGCUAACUCCGUUCCAGCAGCCGCGGUAAUCCGGAGGAUCCGAGCGUUAUCCUGAUUUCUUGGGUUUAAAGGGAGCGUAGAUGGGUUGGUAAGGCAGUUGUGAAAGUUUGCGGCUCAACCGUAAAAUUGCAAUUGAUACUGGCAGUCUUGAGUACAGUUGAGGUAGGCGGAAUGCGGGGUGUAGCGGUGAAAUGCUUAGAUAUCACGAAGAACUCCGAUUGCGAAGGCAGCUUACUAAACUGCCACUGACAUUGAUGCUCGAAAGUGUGGGUAUCAAACAGGAUUAGAUACCCCAGUAGUC
rnacentral:rRNA from 1 species